UUUCCGAAGGGCUACUGAGAAACACGCUUCUCGGUCAGGAUGGAAUUUCCAGCCCUGUAAAUCUGAGGGCCAGACCAUGACCUGGUCAAAUACGAUCACCUUCUGUCUAGACUGGCAAAAGUAUUGAAGCAGCAUUCAAAUUCCGCCCCCUUGGCGGAACUUUGCCUUCGGAGAUGGUGGAGCGUCCCAGACCUUUGACACACUGCUGGAGUCAUCUUUCGAGGCUCAAGGAGAGAGCUUAACGCUAUUUCUGAAAUUUCUAACAAGACGAUGAAAUGGACCAUCUCUGUCACCGUUCUCCCAUCAUCCCUCUUUUGAGACAGUGACAGUUCUGAAUCUGAAGAUACCUUCUUCAGUCCCUGUGGGACACACCGAGAGAUUCCUCUGGAAGCAGACUCCCCAACUCGAAAAGCAGCCUGCAGAUGAGCAGGCGAAGCCCCUCAGACGCAGAACAGGAGCCUGAUGACCACCUGGCUUGAGGCUUUGCCUAUCGGGAUGGUGCUGACGGAGAAGUGUGGACAGCACUGGAAGCUGGGAUUCCUCCAGACCGGGUGACUAGGGCAUUGUCUAUAAAGGUGCACGCCGUUCACAGGACAAGAACGAAAAUACUGAAAUGUGGCGGUAUUUCUAACAGAAUGAAAGCCAAGAAACACUGAAAACACAGUCUUGAGAUUUCCGGUUUAAUUUCCAGGACAAAGAGAUUCAUUGUCGGUUUAUAUCAUCUCUGCUACAUGGAUACCUGGAUCAACAAAAGCUGGUGACCUCUGUGGGGUCACCCAGUGCCCCAUUUUGACUCUGAUUUUGUACUACUCUUCACAGUUGUGAAGUGCUGGGAUGAGGCCAGCCUUUCUUUACCACACUGGCUCCUAAUCAUUCCCAAAGGAAGAACUGGAAAAUAUUUGGGAUUUUUCUUCUAUACUUUCACAUUAGUUUAUUCUCAGAGCACUUAUCAUUUGUGUUUUGAGCCACAUGUUGAGUAAAGAUGGAAGAAGCAUUUAACCACUUUUGUUCCCUAAAGAGCAAUAUCAUAUUUUUGUUAGUAUA